rnacentral:rRNA from 1 species
GGCGGACGGGUGAGUAACACGUGGGUAACCUACCUAUAAGACUGGAAUAACUCCGGGAAACCGGGGCUAAUGCCGGAUAACAUUUAGAACCGCAUGGUUCUAAAGUGAAAGAUGGUUUUGCUAUCACUUAUAGAUGGACCCGCGCCGUAUUAGCUAGUUGGUAAGGUAACGGCUUACCAAGGCAACGAUACGUAGCCGACCUGAGAGGGUGAUCGGCCACACUGGAACUGAGACACGGUCCAGACUCCUACGGGAGGCAGCAGUAGGGAAUCUUCCGCAAUGGGCGAAAGCCUGACGGAGCAACGCCGCGUGAGUGAUGAAGGUCUUCGGAUCGUAAAACUCUGUUAUUAGGGAAGAACAAAUGUGUAAGUAACUAUGCACGUCUUGACGGUACCUAAUCAGAAAGCCACGGCUAACUACGUGCCAGCAGCCGCGGUAAUACGUAGGUGGCAAGCGUUAUCCGGAAUUAUUGGGCGUAAAGCGCGCGUAGGCGGUUUCUUAAGUCUGAUGUGAAAGCCCACGGCUCAACCGUGGAGGGUCAUUGGAAACUGG